UCCAAGAAAAAGAGAUUUAAAAAUCUUGAUGAAUAGCCGCCAAUGUGGCUCUCCUCUCUGUCACUUAUCUCGUCGUUUCCUCCCGAUCUAGCUGAGUUUCUAUCAUCGGAGUAGCAGCCGCUGCUCUCCGCUUGGACUGUGGUUCUCUGCUUCAACAACCGUCUCCGUAUUCUUGUCUUGGCCUUCGACUGAUUUUAGGGUCUAUAUUUUUGUGUUCCAUUUCGUGAACAACUACUCAAAUAUUAUGAGAAGGUUAAAAAUCCAGAUGUAGAAGAAAAUCUCCUUACAUGUUUGGCAGAACUCUUUACACAGUACACAAAAGAAGAAAACAUGUGUUAUUGCUCCAAAACGCUUUGUACAAAGAGUGAAGAAAGAAAAUGAACUUUUUCGUGGCUUUUUCCAUAGCCCUUGGUUACAUGGGUUCACAAAAACUUUCAGGGUAUACUCACAAACGAAACAAAGUGUUUAAGAUGUGAGAUUGUAACUGCAAGAGAUGAGACACUCUUAGAUCUGAGCCUUGAUAAUGAGCAAAACAGAUCCAUUACAAGUUGCCUAAAGAACUUCAGUUCCACC